rnacentral:tRNA from 1 species
CGGCGCAUCGUAUAGUGGUAGUAUGCAGACUUCGGGAGUCUGCGGCCUCAGUUCGAUUCUGAGUGCGCCGA